GCCCUUAGAGUUUGAUCCUGGCUCAGGAUGAACGCUGGCGGUAUGCUUUACACAUGCAAGUCGUACGAGAGUUUUUAACUCAAGUGGCGGACGGGUGAGUAACACGUAAGAAUUUGCCUUUAGGAGGGGGAUAACAACUGGAAACGGUUGCUAAUACCCCAUAUGCUUUCGAGUAAAAUGGAUUUUCCGCCUAAAGAGAAGCUUGCGGCUGAUUAGCUUGUUGGUGAGGUAAUGGCUCACCAAGGCGACGAUCAGUAUCUGGUUUGAGAGGACGAUCAGACACACUGGAACUGAGACACGGUCCCAGACUCCUACGGGAGGCAGCAGUGGGGAAUUUUCCGCAAUGGGCGAAAGCCUGACGGAGCAAUACCGCGUGAGGGAUGACGGCCUAUGGGUUGUAAACCUCUUUUUUCAGGGAGGAAUCAAUGACGUGUACCUGAAGAAUAAGCAUCGGCUAACUCCGUGCCAGCAGCCGCGGUAAGACGGAGGAUGCAAGUGUUAUUCCGGAAUCACUGGGCGUAAAGCGUCUGUAGGUGGUCAAAAUAAGUCAACUGUUAAAUCUUGAGGCUCAACCCUCAAAAUCGCAGUCGAAACUAUUCGACUAGAGUAUAGUAGGGGUAAAGGGAAUUUCCAGUGGAGCGGUGAAAUGCGUAGAGAUUGGAAAGAACACCGAUGGCGAAGGCACUUUACUGGGCUAUUACUAACACUGAGAGACGAAAGCUAGGGUAGCAAAUGGGAUUAGAUACCCCCAGUAGUCCUAGCCGUAAACAAUGGAUACUAGAUGUUGAACAGAUCGACCUGUGCAGUAUCAAAGCUAACGCGUUAAGUAUCCCGCCUGGGAAGUAUGCUCGCAAGAGUGAAACUCAAAUGAAUUGACGGGGAAGGGC
rnacentral:rRNA from 1 species